rnacentral:pre_miRNA from 1 species
UUAGCUCAUAUUUGUAUGGAAUGGGAUCGUUUGCCUACGUUUGCCGUUAGGGGCGCUGUUCCAACUGCAUACAAAAUUGGGCUA